AAUGAACGCUGGCGGCAGGCCUAACACAUGCAAGUCGAACGAGUGGCGGACGGGUGAGUAAUGUCUGGGAAACUGCCCGAUGGAGGGGGAUAACUACUGGAAACGGUAGCUAAUACCGCCUACCAUCGGAUGUGCCCAGAUGGGAUUCGCUAGUAGGUGGGGUAACGGCUCACCUAGGCGACGAUCCCUUGCUGGGCUGAGAGGAUGACCAGCCACACUGGAACUGCGCCACGGGCCAGCCUCCUACGGUAGGCAGCAGUGGGGUAUAGUGCACAAUGGGCGAAAGCCGGAUGCAGCGAUGCCGCGUGUAUGAAGAAGGCCUUCGGGUUGUAAAGUACUUUCAGCGAGGAGGCGGUACUCGCAGAAGAAGCACCGGCUAACUCCGUGCCAGCAGCCGCGGUAAUAC
rnacentral:rRNA from 1 species